CUCUUUUGUCUUUCCACAGUGCCACUCAGAACCCAGUUUCUUUCUGCCUUGAGAGUGAGAGCAAGGAGACGACACACACUAAAAAGAGCCAGAAGCUCUCAGAGAUGACCACAGGAUGGAGAAUGUCGGGGGUAGUACAGCGUGGUGCAAGAAGCUCCAGCUCUGGGGCCAGUUGGACAGGGUUUGAUUCCAACUCUGGCACCUGUCAGUGGAGCAGCCUCAGGAGCAAAGAAGAUAAUCCCCUGGCUUCUGAGAGCUCACAUAUCAGCCAACAGAUUAAAUAUGAGAAUUGUAUUACCUGAAUGAGGAAAGAAGGCAGAGAGCUCAGUCAAGCCUGCUUGGACUUCUGACCUACACAGAAAGGAGAUGAUGAAUGAGUAUUGCUUAAAGUCGCUGAGUUUGGGGCAAUGGACAAUCUCUAACAGAAAUGAGACACUUAAAUUAAGGAGAUGAAGUUCCUGUGGGAGGAUGUCAGUCACUACCAGCUGGCCAAGGAUAGAUUUUAAACAAACUUUGGAAAUUUGGAAAUAAUAUGAGCAAUUUACUUUGG
rnacentral:lncRNA from 1 species